CCCCGGAAAUCGGGAUCAAAGAAGGCCUCUGCUUGCAAGCUUUUGCUGAAGGAUGAGUCCGCGUACCAUUAGCUAGUUGGCAGGGUAAUGGCCUACCAAGGUUAUGAUGGUUAGCUGGUCUGAGAGGAUGAUCAGCCACACUGGAACUGAAACACGGUCCAGACUCCUACGGGAGGCAGCAGUGAGGAAUAUUGCGCAAUGGGGGCAACCCUGACGCAGCAACGCCGCGUGAGUGAGGAAGGUUUUCGGAUUGUAAAGCUCUGUCGAGCGGAAAGAAGUGCAUUAUGGCUAAUAUCCAUAGUGCUUGACGGUACCGCUAGAGGAAGCACCGGCUAACUCCGUGCCAGCAGCCGCGGUAAUACGGGGGGUGCAAGCGUUGUUCGGAAUCAUUGGGCGUAAAGCGCGUGUAGGCGGCUUGACAAGUCAGAUGUGAAAGCCCUGG
rnacentral:rRNA from 1 species